rnacentral:lncRNA from 1 species
UUGUACUUUGUCAACUCUAUUAAUGAGAGACAAGUGCUCAGUGCUAUCCAUAUAUCCGUUGAUACCUCCCUUUCAAUUCUUUGUUCUUCUUUGAUAAGACUGAAUUGAGAAUCAGCUACUUUGAAUCUUCAGUUUGAUUAAAGGAUCAAACGUAGCUUCUGGUGAAGAUAUUGCUUCUGAUAAAAACUUUUGCUUCUGAUGACCUUCUGCUUCUGAUGACGUCAUCUCUUCAGGAGCACUUCAGCUUCAGGAGCAGUUUUCUUCAGAUGCUCAGAAUUUCUUUUUCUUUCCAUUGUUCUUCCAAGACCUAUUGAAAUAACUUGAGUAGCCUUUGGUCCUGUACACUUGAACAAUUAUUAGUAAUAACCAAUUGACAAUUUUUAAUACCUUGUUAUCAUCAAAACUUAAUAAGGUUCAUUGUGAAACACAUUUUGUUCCAACAAUCUCCCCCUUUUUGAUGAUGACAAACAAUAGUAUUUAAAAUGUUCAAUUGUUGUUGAUCUAAUUAAUAAGUUGACCACUGGAAUAGAGGUUUGUAAGCUCCCCCUGAGUCUAAUAGAUCCUUAAGGUGAGGUUUGUAAGCUCCCCCUAAGUUCUAUUCUUAUUAAUUAAAUUUCAAUAAAAUACUCAUAAAAAUUAAAUCAGAAGUAUUUAAAAGAAAUUUAGAAGUGGUUGUAGUGGGGCUCAGUGCCUUAAAAAUACUAUACAUUUACUCCCCCUUUUGUCAUCAACAAAAAGAAUAGAAACAAAAGAAAGAGUAUCAGAGCAAAACAAAACAAAAGAAUAAACAUAUAACCUUUAAAAAUAGUAUUUCAGAGCAAGCAGC